rnacentral:rRNA from 1 species
AACGAACGCUGGCGGCAGGCUUAACACAUGCAAGUCGAACGCCCCGCAAGGGGAGUGGCAGACGGGUGAGUAACGCGUGGGAAUCUACCUAGUUCUACGGAACAACAGAGGGAAACUUCUGCUAAUACCGUAUACGCCCUAAGGGGGAAAGAUUUAUCGGAAUUAGAUGAGCCCGCGUUGGAUUAGCUAGUUGGUGAGGUAAUGGCUCACCAAGGCGACGAUCCAUAGCUGGUCUGAGAGGAUGAUCAGCCACACUGGGACUGAGACACGGCCCAAACUCCUACGGGAGGCAGCAGUGGGGAAUAUUGGACAAUGGGCGCAAGCCUGAUCCAGCCAUGCCGCGUGAGUGAUGAAGGCCUUAGGGUUGUAAAGCUCUUUCACCGAUGAAGAUAAUGACGGUAGUCGGAGAAGAAGCCCCGGCUAACUUCGUGCCAGCAGCCGCCGUAACAC